AUUCUGGUUGAUCCUGCCAGUAGUUAUAUGCUUGUCUCAAAGAUUAAGCCAUGCAAAUUAAACAACUGCGGUAGUACUUUUCGGAUGUUAAAAGUUUUUAUUUUACUUCGAACUUAACUUCACUGAUAUAGAUUUAAGUAGAGGGUCACAAAGGAAUUCCGGGCAAGGGAUUGCGCGAUCUUAAUAUUUAGCUAGACUUUGCGGUGUCGCUGCUGGAUCAAGACUGAUUUGAACUUUCUGAUCUUUGCAUCGUGAUCCCUUUCGGGAAUCGUUUUUCUAUAAACAUUUCAUGAUUUCGUCAUCCGAGUAUGAUUUCGUCACCAAAG
rnacentral:ncRNA from 1 species